UUCUUCUUCUAUCCCUCACCCAGAGCGUAAACUCUUUCGCCCCAAACGUCAAGUUUAAGACAACCACAUACAUGGAAGCAAACCAUGAAAGCACAUCUCCUAUAUAUGUCGUCUUUUAUCAAUGAUCACAACCCAAAUAUAUAUAUAUAUGUACAAUACUAAUUUCACUUCUUCUUCUCCCUCGUCCCAUAGUGUAAAAUCUUUUGCCACAAACGGCAAGUUUAAGGUAAUUUGUGGUUCUCUCUCCUUGUCUCUCUCGAGAUGUUUGUGAUUAAUAUCUCAUAUAUAUAUACAAAUUCUCUUUUCUUUGUUAAUAAAUGUUUUUUAUUGAGCUUGCGAUGUUUCCAACAAAUCUGAUGAGGCGGUUAUUCUGAAGAAGGAUUUAUCAAGUGGCUAAUUGCAGUAAAUUAGCUGAUCAUAUAAAGAGUAUUAUGGAUCUACAAGGAUAUCAAACUUUGAUGGUGAAGCGGUGAUGAGAUGAACAGAGCUUGCGGCGAAAGGCUGUUGUCGGUGAGCAUUGGAGACUUAUCAAACGCAUAACAUGCGGACACACAUGUGUCCUGAAAUUGGAUUUUUAUUGUGUAGAAUAUUCUACAAUAUUUUUUCUUUAUUAUGAUAAUAUGUAAAAUUCCAGCUUGUUGGGCU